GACGAACGCUGGCGGCGUGCUUAACACAUGCAAGUCGAACGGAAAGGCCCUGCUUUUGUGGGGUGCUCGAGUGGCGAACGGGUGAGUAACACGUGAGUAACCUGCCCUUGACUUUGGGAUAACUUCAGGAAACUGGGGCUAAUACCGGAUAGGAGCUCCUGCUGCAUGGUGGGGGUUGGAAAGUUUCGGCGGUUGGGGAUGGACUCGCGGCUUAUCAGCUUGUUGGUGGGGUAGUGGCUUACCAAGGCUUUGACGGGUAGCCGGCCUGAGAGGGUGACCGGCCACAUUGGGACUGAGAUACGGCCCAGACUCCUACGGGAGGCAGCAGUGGGGAAUAUUGCACAAUGGGCGGAAGCCGGAUGCAGCAACGCCGCGUGCGGGAUGACGGCCUUCGGGUUGUAACCGCUUUCGCCUGUGACGAAGCGUGAGUGACGGUAAUGGGUAAAGAAGCACCGGCUAACUACGUG
rnacentral:rRNA from 1 species